rnacentral:rRNA from 1 species
GACGAACGCUGGCGGCGUGCCUAAUACAUGCAAGUCGAACGCAGUGGGGGCGGGGGAGUAAAACGUGGGUAACCUCCCAUCAGAGGGGAUAACAAUUGGAAACAGGUGCUAAACCGCUACUGGUGGAUCGACCCGCGGUGCAGUAGCUAGUUGGUGAGGUACAUGCUCACCAAGGCCACGAUGCAUAGCCGACCGGAGAGGGUGAUCGGCCACACUGGGACUGAGACACGGCCCAGACUCCUACGGGAGGCAGCAGUAGGGAAUCUUCGGCAAUGGACGAAAGUCUGACCGAGCAACGCCGCGUGAGUGAAGAAGGUUUUCGGAUCGUAAAACUCUGUUGUUAGAGAAGCGGUAUCUAACCAGAAAGCAACGGCUAACUACGUGCCAGCAGCCGCGGUAAUUC